rnacentral:rRNA from 1 species
UGGGGGAUAUUGCACAAUGGGCGCAAGCCUGAUGCAGCGACGCCGCGUGGGGGAUGAAGGCCUUCGGGUUGUAAAUUUCUUUUGCUCUGAACAAGGCGCACCUUGGGGUGUGUUGAGUGUAGGGGUUGAUUAGCGCCGGCUAACUACGUGCCAGCAGCCGCGGCAAUACGUAGGGCGCGAGCGUUGUCCGGAAUUAUUGGGCGUAAAGGGCUUGUAGGUGGCUGGUUGCGUCUGUCGUGAAAGCUCAUGGCUUAACGGUGGGUUUGCGGUGGGUACGGGCUGGCUUGAGUGCAGUAGGAGAGGAUGGAAUUCCUGGUGUAGCGGUGGAAUGCGCAGAUAUCAGGAGGAAUACCGGUGGCGAAGGCGGGUCUCUGGGCUGUUACUGACACUGAGGAGCGAAAGCAUGGGGGGCGAACAGG